CUGUCCUACGGGACGCAGCAGUAGGGAAUCUUCCACAAUGGGCGAAAGCCUGAUGGAGCAACGCCGCGUGGGUGAAGAAGGUCUUCGGAUCGUAAAACCCUGUUGUUAGAGAAGAAAGUGCGUGAGAGUAACUGUUCACAUUUCGACGGUAUCUAACCAGAAAGCCACGGCUAACUACGUGCCAGCAGCCGCGGUAAUACGUAGUUGGCAAGCGUUAUCCGUCUUUCUUGUUCGU
rnacentral:rRNA from 1 species